GUGGAUGGAGGUCAGUGUAGAGGCUAAGCCAAGGUUCUUGUUCCUCCAGGAAGUGAGCGAGAAUUCCUGCUAUGACCUGACCAGGGUGAAAAUGAUGAGAUCCUAUAGGCAACACCCCGAAACUUUGUGGAGAAUUACUACUCAUCACCCCCAUCCACUGAGAACCCUGACGUCAUGAGGCUGCUCAGGUAGAAUCCAGUACUGGCAGUCUUCCUGGGUGCAGGCUGUGAGGGGCUGAUGGUGCUACUAGCAGAAUGGUCUUGAGGUGGCUGGAAGCCUUUGGGAGCACCAAAACAGCCCCAGCACCAAAGAGACACUGCCUCCCGCCCAUCUUAAGAGAAAUUCACAUGGCAAGCCCAGUUUCCGCUCCCCCAGGAGAGCCCACCCAGAUCUUCCCCUUCCUUCUCAACCACCCAGCAGAUACUGACGCCUGAGCAGCCAGCCCUGCCAGACUUCAUCACUGGCUCUAUCACAGAAACAGACUCCCCAUUCUAAGGCAGAUCCAUCCUCAGUAUGUGCCCCUGGACAUGCUCUCCAGAGCCAGGUACCCACCUUACUGCUGCAACCCUGGCUAUGUGCUGUCGGGACAACUGACCCUCAAAGUGCUUUCCAUCGCCGGGAAAAUGCCAGCUGUCCACCUGGAGGAAGUCUGUGGGGCUGUGCCUGCGCCAGCGAGAGAUGGAGCCCACCCCAGUCCCCUCAACACCUUUCUGGUCUUUGGCCGAUCAUACAACCCCUGUGACUUCCACAGUUCAUCCUUCAUCCCUUGUCCAUCCCUCUGAGUAUCAGGAGCUUCUUCAAGUCUGGCCCAACUUUCAGAAAAGCACCACCACUCUGGUGGCAGAUUGAACGAAACCCUUCUCUGCUGGACUCUUUUAACUUACUUCCUCCUCCUGCCUUCCAGCAGGCAUCUCUUAUACUGCAAGGUAGAAUCACCCCAGGCCAUCCCCCACCUCCUUUCUCAUAAAUUUGGUUAUCUCCAAUAAAAGUGCUAUCAGAAA
rnacentral:lncRNA from 1 species